GACGAACGCUGGCGGCGUGCCUAAUACAUGCAAGUAGAACGCACAGUUUAUACCGUAGCUUGCUACACCAUAAACUGUGAGUUGCGAACGGGUGAGUAACGCGUAGGUAACCUGCCUGGUAGCGGGGGAUAACUAUUGGAAACGAUAGCUAAUACCGCAUAAUAUUGAUUAUUGCAUGAUAAUUGAUUGAAAGAUGCUAUUGCAUCACUACCAGUUGGACCUGCGUUGUAUUAGCUAGUAGGUGAGGUAACGGCGCACCUAGGCGACGAUACAUAGCCGACCUGAGAGGGUGGUCGGCCACACUGGGACUGAGACACGGCCCAGACUCCUACGGGAGGCAGCAGUAGGGAAUCUUGGGCAAUGGACGAAAGUCUGACCGAGCAACGCCGCGUGAGUGAAGAAGGUUUUCGGAUCGUAAAGCUCUGUUGUCAGAGAAGAACGGGUGUGAGAGUGGAAAGUUCACACUGUGACGGUAUCUUAUCAGAAAGGGACGGCUAACUACGUG
rnacentral:rRNA from 1 species